AGAGUUUGAUCAUGGCUCAGAACGUACGCUGGCGGCACGCCUAACACAUGCAAGUCGAACGAAGUAGCAAUACUUAGUGGCAGACGGGUGAGUAACAUGUAGGUAUCUGCCCUUUGGCCUGGAAUAACACGAGGAAACUUGUGCUAAUACCGGAUAAGUCUUUACGGAGAAAGCUUUAUGCACCAUUGGAUGAGCCUGCACUUGAUUAGUUUGUUGGUGGGGUAAUGGCCUACCAAGACUGUGAUCAAUAGCUGAUUUGAGAGGAUGAUCAGCCACAUUGGGACUGAGACACGGCCCAAACUCCUACGGGAGGCAGCAGUGGGGAAUCUUGCACAAUGGAGGAAACUCUGAUGCAGCGAUGCCGCGUGAGUGAAGAAGGCCCUUGGGUUGUAAAGCUCUUUCGUCGGGGAAGAAAAUGACUGUACCCGAAUAAGAAGGUCCGGCUAACUUCGUGCCAGCAGCCGCGGUAAUACGAAGGGACCUAGCGUAGUUCGGAAUUACUGGGCUUAAAGAGUUCGUAGGUGGUUGAAAAAGUUAGUGGUGAAAUCCCAGAGCUUAACUCUGGAACUGCCAUUAAAACUUUUCAGCUAGAGUAUGAUAGAGGAAAGCAGAAUUUCUAGUGUAGAGGUGAAAUUCGUAGAUAUUAGAAAGAAUACCAAUUGCGAAGGCAGCUUUCUGGAUCAUUACUGACACUGAGGAACGAAAGCAUGGGUAGCGAAGAGGAUUAGAUACCCUCGUAGUCCAUGCCGUAAACGAUGUGUGUUAGACGUUGGAAAUUUAUUUUCAGUGUCGCAGGGAAACCGAUAAACACACCGCCUGGGGAGUACGACCGCAAGGUUAAAACUCAAAUGAAUUGACGGGGACCCGCACAAGUAGUGGAGCAUGUGGUUUAAUUCGAAGAUACGCGCAGAACCUUACCAACACUUGACAUGUUCGUCGCGACUCUAAGAGAUUAGAGUUUUCGGUUCGGCCGGACGAAACACAGGUGCUGCAUGGCUGUCGUCAGCUCGUGUCGUGAGAUGUUGGGUUAAGUCCCGCAACGAGCGCAA
rnacentral:rRNA from 1 species